rnacentral:lncRNA from 1 species
ACAUGCCCACACCAGUGGCUUUGUGAAGCAGAGCACCAGCAGUGACAGUCCCACCAGAACCACAUGGAAUAGAAAACCGUGCAUUUCCCUAAGGAAAGGGAAUGCCAGAGAAGGGCACAAGGGAAAUCAGGAAGACAAAACAUGUCUUCAUGUUGGAGUGGACCUUUCCUCUAUCUGUCAACAGAAUGGAUAAAUUGUGGAAUAGUCAUAUCAGAAUACUACACAUCAGUAAAAAACAACAAACUUCUGCUACAAACAAUCACAUCGAUGAAUCUUGCAGACAAAAUGUUACAGAAGCAGAUAAUCAGUGGCCCAUGGAUUCCAGGUGAGGAUCUGGGACCCAGACAUCCAGAUAUUGAAAACACAGGGAUGGAGUCUGUAUGGAAAAAAUUAAAAUAUAGCAAAACAUGAAAUGCGGAAUAGAAAUCUUUCAAUUUCCCAAUGGAAGUGAGAAAAGAGCAAAGAAAAGUAUUGGUCUUCCAAAACAAAUAGAGGACGGAGCUGCUGCUGUUGCAUGGUCUCUAGAAACUCAGACAACUUCAUCAUUCCAUAUUUGC